rnacentral:rRNA from 1 species
UACGUAGGGUGCAAGCGUUGUCCGGAAUUAUUGGGCGUAAAGAGUUCGUAGGCGGUCUGUCGCGUCCGUUGUGAAAACCCGGGGCUCAACCCCGGGCCUGCAGUCGAUACGGGCAGACUAGAGUGCGGUAGGGGAGACUGGAAUUCCUGGUGUAGCGGUGAAAUGCGCAGAUAUCAGGAGGAACACCGGUGGCGAAGGCGGGUCUCUGGGCCGUAACUGACGCUGAGGAGCGAAAGCGUGGGGAGCGAACAGG